UCGUGUAUUAAUAAAUGAGGAGUCGGACCUGCCCGGUGAGAUUUAUUCUUUAACGGCCGCGGUACUCUGACCGUGCAAAGGUAGCAUAAUCAUUUGCCUUAUAAUUGAAGGCUAGUAUGAAUGGUUUGACAAGAAUAUAGCUGUCUCUUUGUUGAUUUGAUAGAAUUUUAUUUUUAGGUGAAAAAGCCUAGAUACAAUUAAAAGACAAGAAGACCCUAUCGAGCUUUAGAGAAUUCAAUGGAUAUUUAAAUAUAAGCCUGUAGUUAUUUAUAUAGGGUGAUGCUAUUGAACACUUUGGUUGGGGCGACUGAGGAACAAAAGAAGCUUCCUUCAAAUAAAUUUUUAAACAUUCAAGUAUUGAUCCAAAUUUAUUGAUUAAGGGAAUUAGUUACCGUAGGGAUAACAGCAUUAUCUUCCUUGAGAGUUCAUAUCGAAAGGGGGGUUUGUGACCUCGAUGUUGGACCAGAAUGUCCUAAAGAUGCAGAAGUCUUUAAGGGUUGGUCUGUUCGACCAUUAAAAUUCUA
rnacentral:rRNA from 1 species